rnacentral:lncRNA from 1 species
GCCGGCGGGGCGGGGCGGCGGCUCCCGGACACGUGGAGCGGGAGAGCGGAGCCGGGCAGCCUCUCCCAGCCGGGCAGCGAGGUCUGUAAUCAGUAUUCCUUUUAACAUAUUAAUGGAGCAGUAGAGACAAAAAUAAGGAAGAUUUCAUCCUUCAAACCAAGGACUUGCCAUGUCUUAUCAUUACAAUGAAACCUUUGAAAAUCCAGACUAUCACUUCUCAGAGACACUGGAAAUUGAUAGAAGGGGGAGUUCUCAAAAGAAUCCAUUUUCUUACCAAACUCCUCAUGAUUCAUCUCAGUCUGAUUACUAUGGAGAGCGCAGAGGGAGGGAGCAGAACUACCCUGUGGCCAUCCCAAUGGCUUCCCUGGGACCUGGAUCUGACUGCAGCCAGGAUUUACCCAGCACAAGUCCAUAUGGGAAUUUCACAGGUAUGUAAUUUCUCAUGUGAGCAGCUUAAAGAAUGCCUGGAACAAAUAACACUUGGCUCUGUCCCAAGGGAGCCC